GAUGAACGCUGGCGGCGUGCCUAAUACAUGCAAGUCGAGCGAACAGACGAGGAGCUUGCUCCUCUGAUGUUAGCGGCGGACGGGUGAGUAACACGUGGAUAACCUACCUAUAAGACUGGGAUAACUUCGGGAAACCGGAGCUAAUACCGGAUAACAUGUUGAACCGCAUGGUUCAACAGUGAAAGACGGUCUUGCUGUCACUUAUAGAUGGAUCCGCGCCGCAUUAGCUAGUUGGUAAGGUAACGGCUUACCAAGGCAACGAUGCGUAGCCGACCUGAGAGGGUGAUCGGCCACACUGGAACUGAGACACGGUCCAGACUCCUACGGGAGGCAGCAGUAGGGAAUCUUCCGCAAUGGGCGAAAGCCUGACGGAGCAACACCGCGUGAGUGAAGAAGGUCUUCGGAUCGUAAAACUCUGUUAUUAGGGAAGAACAAAUGUGUAAGUAACUAUGCACGUCUUGACGGUACCUAAUCAGAAAGCCACGGCUAACUACGUG
rnacentral:rRNA from 1 species